ACAAUCUCCCCCAUUAAAACACACCACUCCCACCAUAUGUCUCCAUGGACCACCGCCUCUCUAGUUCCUCUUCUUCUUCUUCUUGGUGCAGGUGGACAGUUCCAAAGGGAUCGCAUUGAUCCCAUGGUUAUCUUCCACCUCUCUUACCAGACUAUCAUAACAAAGUCUGGCCUUUUUCCCAUUGGAUCAUGCUAUCCCUUAGGACCUCUCCAUCAGUGCUUCUUUCUCAGCAUCUCCCACCUCCCUUUCAGGCUGCAAUCUCAGAAAUAGGGGUGUGUUUGGCUUUGUAUUGAAAGUCCACCUGCAAUAGUAGGGAAAUAUUCGUCUUUUUAAGACAUGGUCUUCAGUGACAUGUCGAGCUUAUUAUUCUUCGAUUACUAGUUUCCUAUUACACAUGGGUUGAAGACAAUGUGGGGUCAAUAUUUAAAACUACUAAGCCAUAAGUUGAUGAUCAUUCAAAUUUCAAAGGCAUUACAAUGUUGUGAUCAAGUGAUUUUACUUUUACCAGAGAAAGUGAUGGAAUCAUAGUAUUGGGUUUUUCUUUUCUCCUUCUGCCAUUUCCCCUAUGUUGAUCUAUAUAAGACGAUGGCUAUUAGUUUACCAGGA